GCGCGGGCGGGCUCAGCCUCGGUAUCGCGAGACCGGGCGAGACUACGGCAUCGCGGAGGAUUGGGCGCAGCAUUGCUGGGGCCCGAGGCGCACUAGGGCUUCCGGAAGUGACGUGUGUGAGAAGCUUGCUUUUAAAAAAUGUACGUGAGGUCGUUAUUACGUCGCAAUAGCUCGAACUCCAAUCUAGGGUAAAUAAUAAUUCCUUCUCGUGUUCAUCGAGGUGCUUCUAAGUGCCGGUGCCAGGGUCAGAGCCACAGACGAGGCCCUCGCACGAGCCUCCUCCCUCAUGAACCAAUGCCUGUGCCUGUAACCGCGUUCCACCCGCGGCUCCAGGAACGUUUCCAGCUGAAACUACUAUCAGAUAUCUUGCUACCACAUGGAGGCUUUAAGUGAAGUCUACAUGGAAGAGAACAGAGCUGAGAGAUGAAAAGAUACUGAAUCCCAGGGACAUCCUUUGAGAUUCGGGAUCCAGCUGAGGGACUUGGAUGAAUCUGGAAACCAUCAUUCUCGGCAUACUGACUUAAGAACAGAAAAACAAAAACCACAUGUUCUCACUCACAGGUGGGUGUUGAACAAUGAGAACACGUGGACUCAGGGAGCA